UACGUAGGCAGCAAGCGUUGUUCGGAGUUACUGGGCGUAAAGGGUGUGUAGGCGGUUCCUUAAGUUUGCUGUGAAAUCUCCCGGCUUAACCGGGAGGGUGCGGUGAAUACUGAGGGACUAGAGUACGGGAGAGGAAAGUGGAAUUCCCGGUGUAGCAGUGAAAUGCGUAGAGAUCGGGAGGAACAUCAGUUGCGAAGGCGGCUCUCUGGACCAGCACUGACACUGAGGCACGAAAGCGUGGGGAGCAAACAGG
rnacentral:rRNA from 1 species